rnacentral:rRNA from 1 species
GUUGUAUGGUUAAGUGACUAAGCGUACAUGGUGGAUGCCUUGGCAGUCAGAGGCGAUGAAGGACGUACUAACCUGCGAUAAGCUGUGAGAAGUCGGUAAGAGACGCUAUUACUCACAGAUUUCCGAAUGGGGAAACCCACCCGAGAUAACUCGGGUAUCUGUUACUGAAUACAUAGGUAACAGAGGCGAACCGGGAGAACUGAAACAUCUAAGUACCCCGAGGAAAAGAAAUCAACCGAGAUUCCCUCAGUAGCGGCGAGCGAACGGGGAUUAGCCCUUAAGCAUCUUGGAAGUUAGUGGAACGGUCCUGGAAAGGCCGGCGAUACAGGGUGAUAGCCCCGUACACGAAAACAACCUUGAUGUGAAAUCGAGUAGGGCGGGACACGUGACAUCCUGUCUGAAUAUGGGGGGACCAUCCUCCAAGGCUAAAUACUCCUGACUGACCGAUAGUGAACCAGUACCGUGAGGGAAAGGCGAAAAGAACCCCUGUGAGGGGAGUGAAAUAGAACCUGAAACCGUGUACGUACAAGCAGUGGGAGCCCUUCGGGGUGACUGCGUACCUUUUGUAUAAUGGGUCAGCGACUUACAUUUUGUAGCGAGGUUAACCGUAUAGGGGAGCCGUAGGGAAACCGAGUCUUAACUGGGCGUCUAGUUGCAAGGUGUAGACCCGAAACCGGGUGAUCUAGCCAUGGGCAGGUUGAAGGUUGAGUAACAUCAACUGGAGGACCGAACCCACUAACGUUGCAAAGUUAGGGGAUGACCUGUGGCUGGGGGUGAAAGGCCAAUCAAACUCGGAGAUAGCUGGUUCUCCCCGAAAGCUAUUUAGGUAGCGCCUCGGACGAAUACUACUGGGGGUAGAGCACUGUUUGGGCUAGGGGGUCAUCCCGACUUACCAACCCCAUGCAAACUCCGAAUACCAGUAAGUAAUAUCCGGGAGACACACGGCGGGUGCUAACGUCCGUCGUGAAGAGGGAAACAACCCAGACCGCCGGCUAAGGUCCCAAAGUUCUGGUUAAGUGGGAAACGAUGUGGGAAGGCUCAGACAGCUAGGAUGUUGGCUUAGAAGCAGCCAUCAUUUAAAGAAAGCGUAAUAGCUCACUAGUCGAGUCGGCCUGCGCGGAAGAUGUAACGGGGCUCAAACCAGGCACCGAAGCCGCGGAUUCACACUUAUGUGUGAGUGGUAGGGGAGCGUUCUGUAAGUCUGCGAAGGUGUAUCGAGAGGUAUGCUGGAGAUAUCAGAAGUGCGAAUGCUGACGUAAGUAACGAUAAAGGGGGUGAAAAGCCUCCUCGCCGGAAGACCAAGGGUUCCUGUCCAACGUUAAUCGGGGCAGGGUGAGUCGACCCCUAAGGCGAGGCCGAAAGGCGUAGUCGAUGGGAAGCAGGUUAAUAUUCCUGCACGACUUGUAAUUGCGAUGGGGGGACGGAGAAGGCUAGGUGGGCCAGGCGACGGUUGUCCUGGUGAAAGUGCGUAGGUGGUGUUUCUAGGCAAAUCCGGAGACACAACACUGAGACACGAGACGAACACACUACGGUGUGGAAGCCAUUGAUGCCCUGCUUCCAGGAAAAGCCUCUAAGCUUCAGAUUACAAGUCAUCGUACCCCAAACCGACACAGGUGGUCGGGUAGAGAAUACCAAGGCGCUUGAGAGAACUCGGGUGAAGGAACUAGGCAAAAUAGAACCGUAACUUCGGGAGAAGGUUCGCUCUUGACAGUGAAGUCCCUUGCGGAUGGAGCAGUUGGGAGUCGCAGUGACCAGAUGGCUGGGACUGUUUAUCAAAAACACAGCACUCUGCAAACACGAAAGUGGACGUAUAGGGUGUGACACCUGCCCGGUGCCGGAAGGUUAAUUGAUGGGGUUAGCGCAAGCGAAGCUCUUGAUCGAAGCCCCGGUAAACGGCGGCCGUAACUAUAACGGUCCUAAGGUAGCGAAAUUCCUUGUCGGGUAAGUUCCGACCUGCACGAAUGGUGUAACCAUGGCCAUGCUGUCUCCACCCGAGACUCAGUGAAAUCGAAUUCGCCGUGAAGAUGCGGUGUACCCGCGGCUAGACGGAAAGACCCCGUGAACCUUUACUACAGCUUGGCACUGAACAUUGAACCUACAUGUGUAGGAUAGGUGGGAGGCUUUGAAGGCGUGACGCCAGUUGCGCUGGAGCCGUCCUUGAAAUACCACCCUUGUAUGUUUGAUGUUCUAACGCAGGGCCCUGAAUCGGGCUCGCGGACAGUGCCUGGUGGGUAGUUUGACUGGGGCGGUCUCCUCCCAAAGAGUAACGGAGGAGCACGAAGGUUGGCUAAUCCUGGUCGGACAUCAGGAGGUUAGUGCAAUGGCAUAAGCCAGCUUAACUGCGAGACGGACAGGUCGAGCAGGUACGAAAGUAGGUCAUAGUGAUCCGGUGGUUCUGAAUGGAAGGGCCAUCGCUCAACGGAUAAAAGGUACUCCGGGGAUAACAGGCUGAUACCGCCCAAGAGUUCAUAUCGACGGCGGUGUUUGGCACCUCGAUGUCGGCUCAUCACAUCCUGGGGCUGAAGUCGGUCCCAAGGGUAUGGCUGUUCGCCAUUUAAAGUGGUACGCGAGCUGGGUUCAGAACGUCGUGAGACAGUUCGGUCCCUAUCUGCCGUGGGCGUUGGAUGAUUGAAGGGAGUUGCUCCUAGUACGAGAGGACCGGAGUGAACGAACCUCUGGUGUUCGGGUUGUCACGCCAGUGGCACUGCCCGGUAGCUAAGUUCGGAAUCGAUAACCGCUGAAAGCAUCUAAGCGGGAAGCGAGCCCUGAGAUGAGUCAUCCCUGACCCCUUGAGGGUCCUAAAGGGCCGUUGGAGACCACAACGUUGAUAGGUGGGGUGU